UACGAAGGGGGCUAGCGUUGCUCGGAAUCACUGGGCGUAAAGCGCACGUAGGCGGAUCGUUAAGUCAGGGGUGAAAUCCUGGAGCUCAACUCCAGAACUGCCUUUGAUACUGGCGACCUUGAGUUCGGGAGAGGUGAGUGGAACUGCGAGUGUAGAGGUGAAAAUUCGUAGAUAUUCGCAAGAACACCAGUGGCGAAGGCGGCUCACUGGCCCGAUACUGACGCUGAGGUGCGAAAGCGUGGGGAGCAACAGGGAGUUAAGAAGAU
rnacentral:rRNA from 1 species